rnacentral:rRNA from 1 species
UACGUAGGGUGCAAGCGUUAAUCGGAAUUACUGGGCGUAAAGCGUGCGCAGGCGGCUUUGCAAGACAGAUGUGAAAUCCCCGGGCUUAACCUGGGAACUGCAUUUGUGACUGCAUGGCUGGAGUGCGGCAGAGGGGGAUGGAAUUCCGCGUGUAGCAGUGAAAUGCGUAGAUAUCGGGAGGAACACCAGUGGCGAAGGCGAGUCUCUGGCUGAGUACCGACGCUGAGGCGCGAAAGCCAGGGGAGCAAACGGG